UUCUAGCUGGCUCAGUCAUUGGAGCAUGCGACUUUUGAUCUCAGGGUCGUGAGUUCAAGCCUCAUGUUGGGCA
rnacentral:tRNA from 1 species